CACGCGGAGAUGGGGAGAGAAGUUUGCCUGCGGCGCAGUCCAGAUGAACAUUUACUCUAUUUCAUUUGGGGAACAGCAACAAGAGCCUCCGGAGAAGCUUUCCAGGGAAUGCUGAGGAAUAUCUGACAGCACAAAUACACCACUCACAACCGAGUUUUUCCUCUUUAAAAAAAAAAAAAAAUCUUUACUUAUCAUUGAUGUCGCCAAACUAGUGGGAAGCUCGGGUCAGUAGGACAGCGGCCGCACGCGGACUGUUGUCUGUCGGAGGGUGCUUUUUUAAUUUUUGGGUCCUGGAGAGGAAGAAGAGAGCGAAGCAGAGACGAGGAGAGGAAGAAGACAGUCCAAGUGAAAGUGAUAAGAGAGUCCGGCUCAGAAUGAAUAACAACAAAAUCGAGAAAGAAAACGAGCAGAGUGAAUUCACCAACCACGAAGAGGAGGUCCGAACGCUAUUUGUCAGUGGGCUACCACUGGAUAUUAAGCCGCGGGAGCUCUAUCUCCUGUUCAGACCAUUUAAGGGCUAUGAAGGCUCCUUGAUAAAACUGACUUCUAAACAGCCAGUGGGGUUUGUCAGCUUUGACAGUCGAUCAGAGGCGGAGGCUGCUAAGAAUGCCUUGAACGGGGUCAGGUUUGAUCCAGAAAUCCCCCAGACCCUGCGGCUGGAGUUUGCCAAAGCCAACACCAAGAUGGCCAAGAACAAGCUGGUUGGCACUCCCAACCCCCCUCCCUCCCAGCAGAGCCCUGGGCCACAGUUCAUCAGCAGAGACCCUUAUGAGCUCACAGUGCCUGCUCUAUAUCCCAGCAGCCCAGACGUGUGGGCGUCAUACCCGCUGUACCCGGCGGAGCUGUCGCCGGCCCUCCCACCCGCUUUCACCUACCCCUCCUCGCUCCACGCUCAGAUCCGCUGGCUCCCACCUGCAGAUGGAACUCCUCAGGGAUGGAAGUCCAGGCAGUUCUGCUGAAGUUCCUGAUGUGUGAUGGUGGCCGUGGCCGGCUGUGACGGGCGUUGCUGAUUGCCUCUCAUGUCCAAUUAGAAACAUGGAGGACUGACCUGACCCCAGCACUUGGAGCAGCGUAACGUCGGCAGCAGCAGCCUCAUGGGCCUCAGGACAUACUAGACCCCAGCCUCCAUCACACAUCGAGCCCCCCCCCCCUCCUUCUCACCCACCAUCCUCAAAGUCCCUCCAACUCUUUUUUAUACUGUUACAUACUCAAGAUUUACUGGCAGUGCUUUGGCUGCACCUCCUCUGACACCUCCAUGAAAGGUACCGGGCAUGCAUGACAAAGGCACACACACCCUUUGUUCACCAGUUGACUGCAUCGCCUGUCUGACAUUAGCAGGUCUCUUGCUUUGCAUUCUGUAUAUGCAAGUGUAAAAGACAGCCCACCAGAGGAGUGCAAACACAUUUUAUGCAGCCACUUUGCAAGGCCAGAUGUAUGGAAGUGUGGCUAAAGCACUGCUGGAUAAUGUUAUUAUAUUACUAUAAUUAUUACUAUUCUGUAUAUCAUUCAUAUUAAUGUUAUUAUGAUUAUUAAAUACAUGUUGAAGCAUGACUUUGCAAAAAAAAAGAAAAAAAAACAAUGCUGUACAUUUUUAGAUAUUUUAAAGAAAUACAAAAAGGUAUUUUUGUAAUCAAGACAAUGUUUGAAAUGGUUCUGUUUGAUUGAUUUAUGUUGUGCUAAAGUGUGUGUGGAACUUUCAUAUGUUUUUUUUAGUUUUUUUUUUUUGCCCUUCCUGUGCCAUUACAAAAUGGUAAGUCGCCCUGCUAUACCAAAGCAGUCCUGUCGGUUUGCUCUUGACUUUUCUACAUACCGUGUGGAUUUAGGUUUGCUCAUGUGUGUGUCUUUGUGUGGGCGUCUUUACCUCAUGAAGCAGACAUAUUAGUCCUUUGUCUGACGCGCUUUGGUUCAACUCAGCAGCCAAUGUUAACACUGAGUGUCAAAAACACUCCUGAUCCAGCUCAUAAUUUAGCAGUUUGAGGUAAUCAGAUGUGUUAAAAAAAAAAAAAAAAAAAAAAAAUAGGCAUUGACAGGAAUAAGCCAUUGGUGGUGAAGGUAGAGUGACCCCCCCCAGAGACUGCAAUGCAUGGCAAACUGAGCCCUGCUAUAAUUAGGAAUUUGCCCCUUCAUUGUGUUAGCAGGAGGACAGCAGCACAGUAUAGAGAAAAGAAAGACCAAAGGCAUUUUUUUUUUUACACUGGAGAGCUAUCUAGGCUAGUGGAGUUAUUCUGUUUUUGACUGCUUUGAAGUCCUCAAUCUGAUUUCUUAUGAAGUAUGAUAUUAUUUUCGCUGCAUGUCUCUUUUGGUGUCACUCCAAAGAGCCACUCUACAUCUGAAAGGAUAUUCACUUAAAGCAAUUUGUCUCCUUUGUCUAUUUUUAGGGAGCCAAUGUGAUUCAACGUGCUUUUGUAAAUUUUGAAUUUACAUAGUAAUGAUUGGAGUGGGGAAAAAAACACCCAAAUCUUUUGUAAUCUUGUGUAUUCUUUGGCCUGCAAUAACGUCUUUGCUGUAUGACAUAUCAUCGAGUGAUAAUGUGUCUGUGACAUUUUGACGCCAAAACUCUCAUUCAUGUCACAUCUGUACAAAGACGAACCUUGAUUCUUGUACUUUUCUGAUGAGGCUAAGUCACAUUUCACAGUGAUGUGACAGUGAAAACCUGAAGUAAGAAAACAACAAUCUUCCCUGUAAUCUUUAGCCCAGGUGUGUACAAUCAUGUUGGACUGGUUGAAUUAUAUAGUCAGUGUUUGUAAUGAAUAAUAAUAAUAUGCACGCACAUCAUAUCAACUGAUUUUUCUGAAGCAGUUUUUGCUUUUACAGACAUUUUUUAAGCCAACCGUGGCACCAAAUUUAUUAGAACAAGUAUUUAUAAGGUGUGUGUGUGUGCGUGUGUGUGUGUGUGUGUGUGUGUGUUUUUUUAUGGGUAUUAUGUUUUUAAAGUUCAUAGAAGAUGCCCAUCAUAUAAUUCAUUGUAAGUAUUAUUGUAAGUUUAAUUGUAUAUUCAUUUGGUAAUUUUUCUAGAGCUUCUUUUUGUGUUUGUAUCUGACUGAUUGAAACAUACUGUAUGUGAUAUAUGAAUACUGUUUUAUCUACAUAAUUCACUGUGAAAUCCAGAGAAAAACAUGCUCUUUGAACGAAUGGAUCUUUUUUUGUCUUUUGUCAGCAGUACGGUACAGAAGUCCCAUGAAAUUAAUAUUAUGGUCCCUCCUUUUGUCAAUGAAAAAUACUCCUUUCUUGUUUCAGUAUACCGUGUGCGUACCUGUGUGUUCUGUGCAUGUUCACGGCAUGUGUGUGUUCUUUUCUUUUUCUUAAUGCAUACAGUACUGUUGAUAUUUAUGUACUUUAGCCACUGUAAGGAGAAACUGUAUUUCAGUGAAUUGCAGAGGUGUGUUUGUUUGAAACCAAAAAAAAAAAAAAAAAAAAAAAAAGGUGAUCAAAAUGAGAAGUUUUUAUGAAAAUGUUAAAUGAAGACAUUUCAGGCCAUCUGCCAUUAAAGAUUGACGUCAUCCUUGGUGUCAUGAUUACA